rnacentral:misc_RNA from 1 species
UUAAGAAAAAAUUAUCCCUUAAAAAAAAAAUUAUCCAACGACGGAAAUUACUUUGUCUUCCUCAGCUAAUACAUUCCCACCACUUGUCCCUGCGCUUUCCAUUUUUGUGCCUCCGUUUGGCUCCUUGCUCGCUGCAUCCUAUUAUUUCCUCCCUCCCUGAAACGCACGCCACCGGGUACCCGCGAGGAAGAACGUAAAACAGAGCGUAAAGUGAAUGAUCUGUUGUUCUGUUGCGGUGGCCUUUCGGUCGAGUAUUUCCUGAAUCGCCUGCCCUCUCUUCUCGGGGCUGGAUCGGCUU